AAUUUAUGGGUACAUAUUUCACGAAGCAAUCAAACGGGUUGAACUAUAUAAAUCUUGUGAAAGCGAUUUAGAUUGCUUGUCAUUAGACUACGCACAAUGUAACACGAAUGAAAAGUGUGAGUGUGUUAAUAGGUUCGUUGCUCUUGAAGGACAACGAUGUCUCCCUCUCGUAGGAGGGCAUUGCACGAAACCUUCCGAUUGUUUCAUCAAAAACUCUCACUGUGUUAACCGUUUUUGCGAAUGUAAGCCCGAAUAUGCACUACAAUCCGAACAGUGCCUACCAACGGUCUUGGGACAAAAGUGUUACACGGACAUAGAUUGCAGUCUCAUCAAUUAUACCGAAUGUUCUUUCGAAGAAAAAUGCAUUUGCAAGAAAAAUUAUGCCAUGAUAAACAACGUAACAUGCCUCCCUCUUCUAGGAAGCUAUUGUAAGAGUGGUGAGCGUUGUUUUGCUCAAAAUUCCGUUUGCCAAGACAACAGAUGUCAAUGCAGAGACCAUUUCGUUUCUGUGUCAAACCAUCAAUGCGAAUUGAGUUUUUUGGGAAAAAAAUGCAACACUGACAAGGAUUGCUCCGAAAUAAGACUCGCUCAUUGCUCGAAAAAUAAAACAUGUUCAUGCAAAACCGAGAAGAUUUCUCACGGCCAUAGAAUUUGUUUGCAAGUUUUAGGCGAAAGUUGUAACAAUAAUAAUGAUUGUGCGUCUAGAUUUGCAGAGUGUACAAAUUAUCAGUGCAGAUGCCAAAAUGGUUAUACUCCAAUUUCUGAUUAUGAAUGCAUGGAGCGUAAGUAUAUCGAAAGAAUUUAUUAAAAAAUCAAUCAUU